rnacentral:tRNA from 1 species
GCGAGUGUGGCGGAAUGGCAGACGCACCAGACUUAGGAUCUGGCGUCUCACGACGUGAGGGUUCAAGUCCCUCCACUCGCA